rnacentral:rRNA from 1 species
AUUGAACGCUGGCGGCAGGCCUAACACAUGCAAGUCGAGCGGAUGAAGGGAGCUUGCUCCUGGAUUCAGCGGCGGACGGGUGAGUAAUGCCUAGGAAUCUGCCUGGUAGUGGGGGAUAACGUCCGGAAACGGGCGCUAAUACCGCAUACGUCUUGAGGGAGAAAGUGGGGGAUCUUCGGACCUCACGCUAUCAGAUGAGCCUAGGUCGGAUUAGCUAGUUGGUGGGGUAAAGGCCUACCAAGGCGACGAUCCGUAACUGGUCUGAGAGGAUGAUCAGUCACACUGGAACUGAGACACGGUCCAGACUCCUACGGGAGGCAGCAGUGGGGAAUAUUGGACAAUGGGCGAAAGCCUGAUCCAGCCAUGCCGCGUGUGUGAAGAAGGUCUUCGGAUUGUAAAGCACUUUAAGUUGGGAGGAAGGGCAGUAAGUUAAUACCUUGCUGUUUUGACGUUACCAGCAGAAUAAGCACCGGCUAACUUCGUG